rnacentral:tRNA from 1 species
GGGGACGUAGCGUAGCUGGCUUAACGCGAUAGAUUGUCGAUCUAUAGAUCGCGGGUUCGAAUCCCGUCGUCCCCGCCA